GAUGAAGAACGCAGCGAAAUGCGAUAAGUAAUGUGAAUUGCAGAAUUCAGUGAAUCAUCGAAUCUUUGAACGCACCUUGCGCUCCUUGGUAUUCCGAGGAGCAUGCCUGUUUGAGUGUCAUGAAAUUCUCAACCUUUCUGGCUUUUGCUAGUCAGGCUUGGAUUAUGGGAGCUGCUGGCUUUUGAAGUCGGCUCUUCUAAAAUGUAUUAGCAAGAUCAUUGCUGCUCAUCAUUGGUAUGAUAAUUAUCUAUAUCAUUGAGGGUCAGUUUCCUUUAUUGGAAGAUUUUGCUCCUAACGGUCUUUAGCAAGACAACAUUUGACGAUUUUGACCUCAAAUCAGGUAGGACUACCCGCUGAACUUAAGCAUAUCAAUAAGCGGAGGA
rnacentral:misc_RNA from 1 species